GCAGUUCCUCCUCGGACUGUUCUAGAUGUCGGACAGUAGUGACGGGAAGAUGGCGGCAGCCUUGGUCCAGAUGACAUGUUUGUACCGAGGAAUGAUUGCCGUGAAGGCGGCUGGUAUCAGGCCACUCAUUCCUGGGCUGGUCCCGGCUCGGUUCCGGGCCUUCUCGGUGCGGAAAGAGGAAGAAGACUUGGAGAAGAAUCCUUACUACGGGAAGUACCAGGACAAGAUCAACAACAUCCGCAGUUCCAAGCCUGAGGAGAUGAAGGCACGGAUGGAAAAACGUCAAGAUGCAAAGAAGGAAGUGCUGGGACAUUCCAAGCAAGCAGAGUUUGUGAAGUUCAUGGAGCAGGAGUUGGAGAAGCGAAACAAGCUUGCAGCCGGCGAUGGAACAUCAGCCAGUUUCACCAAAAACAAGAUGCUGAGCUCCAUCCUCAACCUGGAGCUGAUCCAGGACAAGACGGGUGAGGAGAUUGCAGAGAUCUGGAAGAAAUAUUUUGCCACCAAGGACACAAUCAGCGCUGUCAUCUCAACUGAGACGUACAACGUUAUUCACACCCGCGCCACUUCUUGUCCCAUGUUCCUGUUUGCGUUGCCACAGAUGGAAGGUUACGAGUUCUUUGUGGGUCAGUGGUCCGGCCAUGAGCUCCAUUUCACCUCACUCAUCAACAUCCAGACGAUGGGUGAGCACGCUCCCAGUCAGCUGAUCCUCUACCACUACCCUGACUUGAAGGAGAAGGGUGUUGUGCUCAUGACAGCAGAAUUGGAUCCCAAGUUUAUUACUGUCCACCAAGCUCAGUGCUUGGCCAAUCAGGUGCAGCUCUUUUAUGGCACACAGAGGCAGGAGACGCACCGAUUGGUGGAGACGUUUAACCACCACCCUGCCGAUUUCAAACACAUGGCGGUCAUAGCCGAGCUAGAACAGAGCGGGCUCGGGUCUGCACUCGCGUCCGGCUCCAAAUAGAGAAGGACAAGGACUGAGCCGAGAUCAAGUACGGCAUCACCAACUACAGGUACUCAAAGCGCUUUGACACAAUUUCCACAUUCACCCACUGAUGGCGGGAGCUGCCAUGCAAGGCCCUAACCACGACCCAUCAGGAGCAAGGGUGAAGUGUCUUGCCCAAGGACACAACGGACGUGACGAGCGCCACGGCAGCAAAGUAGUGCGCCAGAGCUCGGAAGUGUUCGGACUUGACGUGAACCACGGACGCCCACGAAAACGGAACGUAGUCCUUCAUCAGCGGCUGCGACAUGGCCUGCUGCACGGACAGGUAGCGGUCCGACACCUGCGGGCGCAAAUUGCAAAGUGGUUCCGGUCGUCGUUCCGGUGGAGACUUGUCACCCGAGGGCUCACCUGUGCCGCCUCCUGUGCCAAACACAGCAGGGGAAGGAAGUGCGCGUCCUGCGUGGUGAGCACAGUGCGCUCAAACACGCACUCCUGCAGCUGGGCCACCAUCAGCCGGACCAGCAUGCAGAGCGACGGUCCGCUCAUGUCAAGACUCGGCGCGUUGGAGAAGUUCUCUUUCAGGUAAUGAAAAGUACCUGAACACAUGAAUACAGAGUACAGUAUAGUCCAGGGGUGGGCAAUUAAUUUUUACCGGGGGCCGCAUGAGCUACCCGAGCACUGCUGGAGGGCCACAACGACAAUAUUUCAAUUAAAUUUUGCUCAAUAUUAUUUUUGAUAUAUACCGUAAGAUAAAUAAUAAUAAUAAUAAUAGUAAUACUUCAACAUAGUGUGUGUAACAGCAUUCCAUGACUAAUAUAAAUAAAUUAACAUUAAUAAUAAAUGACAGUAAAAUAAGCACACGUAUGACU